GCCACCUUAGCUCAGCUGGUAGAGCAAUGCUUUCGUAAAGCAGAGGUCCCCGGUUCGAAUCCGGGAGGUGGCUCCA
rnacentral:tRNA from 1 species